GACGAACGCUGGCGGCGUGCUUAACACAUGCAAGUCGAACGGUAAGGCCCUUCGGGGUAUACGAGUGGCGAACGGGUGAGUAACACGUGGGUGAUCUGCCCUGCACUUCGGGAUAAGCCUGGGAAACUGGGUCUAAUACCGGAUAGGACCACUGCCUGCAUGGGUGGUGGGGGAAAGCUUUUGCGGUGUGGGAUGGGCCCGCGGCCUCUCAGCUUGUUGGUGGGGUGAUGGCCUACCAGGGCGACGACGGGUAGCCGGCCUGAGAGGGUGACCGGACACACUGGGACUGAGAUACGGCCCAGACUCCUACGGGAGGCAGCAGUGGGGAAUAUUGCACAAUGGGCGCAAGCCUGAUGCAGCGACGCCGCGUGAGGGAUGACGGCCUUCGGGUUGUAAACCUCUUUCAGCUAUGACGAAGCGCAAGUGACGGUAGUAGCAGAAGAAGGACCGGCCAACUACGUGCCAGCAGCCGCCGUAA
rnacentral:rRNA from 1 species